rnacentral:tRNA from 1 species
GUCCCCGUAGCUUAACGGAUAAAGCAGCAGGCUUCGAACCUGCUGAUGGGGGUUCGAUUCCCUCCGGGGACA